AUGAGAUGUUCUUUUUUCUUUUUCUUUUUGUUUUCCAGUAUCGUUGUUGCCAUGAAAACUUUCUUUUGAGUUGUGAUGAUAAUUAUAUUUAUUUGAUUUUCUAUUGAAAACUGCUUAAACUGCAUACUAUUGAACUUCCUUCCUGUCCUGUUCUUGUUUAGCACAAAUUCAUUUGUAACAUUUGUUUACUAUAAUGGUUUUUCAAUUCGUUUAUGUUAUUGAGGAUGCAAAUAGUGAUGUUUGAUGGACCAUCUUGCUUACUUUGGAA
rnacentral:misc_RNA from 1 species